AUGUAGGAAAAGAGAGGUUAUUCAACUAGAAAAGUAAGAGUUGCGCAAAGAAGAUGAAGGAAAUAUCUUUUUGAAGAGCGUUAAUUUAUUAACUGGAAAUCUCUGCCUUUUAUAGGCUUACAAACUCUAAAAGAUCCAAGACUCUACUUGACUAAAAACUAGGAACCAUAUCAGAAAAAAUAGCAACUGAAUCCGAAAAUAUAGCAACCUAACAAAGACUCUUUCAACUCUAGUGAAAGACUUAUUCAACUAACAGUAAAACGUAUCCUAUGCAGUAACUUAACAAAACAGGCUUUGAAUCAAUUCUCAACACUCCCCCUUGAUUCAAAAUCACAUAUGCCGAGGCGUAACAUAAAGUAAUUGUGCUUUGCUGGAGGAAGUGCUUUAGUAAGAAUAUCUGCCACUUGUUCUUCGGUGCUACAACUCUUCAACUCAAUCAGCCCUUCUGCAACAAGUUCACGGAUGAAAUGGUGCCGAAUAUCUAUGUGCUUCGAUCUUCCGUGACAAACAGGAUUUUUAGCCAUUGCAAUUGCUGAUAGAUUAUCACAGAAAAUUUUUGUUGCCCCCUUUUGUUCUUGGUGAAGAUCAGCAAGUAUUUUCCUGAGCCACAAUGCUUGGCAUGUUGAAGAUGCUGCUGCGACAUAUUCAGCCUCGGAAGUAGACAACGCUGCUGUUGGUUGUUUCUUUGAGCUCCAAGUAAUAGCUGCAGAACCAAGAGUGAAAAGGUUCCCGGAAACAUUCUUUCUAUCAUCCAAACAUCUCCCAUAAUCACUAUCUGAAUAACCAUAGAGAUUAAAAUUGGAACUUCGAAAGUACCAUAGUCCAAAUCCUGUAGUUCCAGCAACAUAGCGCAAGACUCUUUUAGCUGCUCCAAGAUGAUGCUUUGAAGGCCUAUGCAUAAACCUUGAAAUCAUUCCAACAGAAAAUGAUAUAUCAGGACGAGUGUGCGUCAAAUAAAUUAAGCCUCCAACUAAGCUUCUAAAAUAACUUCCAUCAGCUUUUUCAAUAUCAUCAUCAAGUUGCAGCUUCUCAUUUACAUUCAUAGGAGUAGCCACUAUUUUGCAAUUAAGCAAAUUAAAUCUUUUGAGAAGAUCAAUGGCAUACUUCCUUUGUGAAAUGAAAAUUCCAUCUUCUUCCUGCUUCACUUCAAGUCCAAGAAAAUAGUGCAACACUCCCAAAUCAGUCAUUUCAAAUUUUUUCAUCAUAGAAGAUUUGAAAUCACAUACAAGAGAGUGAGAUGAGCCCAUAUAGAUCAUAUCAUCAACAUACAAACACACCAUCAAAAGAUCAUUUUUUCCAUAUUUUUUCACAUAUAAAGUUGGUUCAUUCUUACUUCUUUCAAAUCCAUUUUCUCUGAAAUGUGAGUCGAUUUUGCUAUACCAAGCGCGAGGAGCUUGUUUUAGCCCAUAGAGUGCUUUCUUCAACUUGUAUACUUUGUUCUCCUUUCCUUUCUCCACAUAGCCAUCUGGUUGUGUCACAUACACUUCUUCUUCCAAAUCGCCAUUAAGGAAUGCAGACUUAACAUCAAAUUGAUAAACCUUCCAUUUUAAUUGUACAGCCAAAGCUAAAACGAUUCUUAUUGUUUCAAAGCGAGCAACUGGAGAGAAAGUCUCGUCAAAGUCAAUACCUUGUUGCUGCGAAUAUCCUUUUGCGACCAAUCUGGCUUUGUGUUUCUGCACGCUCCCGUCAACAUGGUAUUUUGUCUUGAACACCCAUUUUAAUCCGAUAACAUUUUUUCCAUCUGGAAGGUCCACCAAGUCCCAUGUCCCAUUCUUUCUUAUUGCCAUAAGCUCUUCUUCCAUUGCACACCUCCAUUCCAUUUUUGUUGAAGCUUCCUUAAAACUAGCUGGAUCUGCACCAAAUAAAGCAAAGGUACAUGUUUCAUAAAUAUCUGACAGCGACCUAACCUUCUGUGGAGGAGUUUCAUUAGAAUCUUCUGAGUCAGGCACCAUCAAUGUUGGGCUGCUACCACUUGGACUGAUGUUGCUGGAAUUUCUUGAAUAGUGGCUUGGUGGAUCAGCAAGAGGUUGACUUACUGCUUCACCAGGAACGGCUUCAUUUCCCACUGCAACUUGUGAGCUUUGAUUGUUGCUUUCCCAUUUCCAGCAGGCGUUCUCAUCAAAUACAACAUCUCUUCUAAUAAUCACUUUACCAUUUGUGGGAUUAUACAAUCUAAAAGCUUUGGAUUCAGAGCAAUAUCCAAAGAAAAUGCAUUUUUCAGAUUUUUCAUCAAGCUUUUUAUGAUGUUGAGAAUUUAUCAAAGCAUAUGCAAUACAACCGAAAAUUCUCAAAUGACUUACCCAUGGCUUUCUACCUUUACAGAUUUCAAAAGGUGUUCGACCCAUAACUGCUUUUGUCGGAGAAAUGUUUAGCAGAUAAACUGCAGUAUGAACAGCUUCAGCCCAAAACUGAUUUGGAAGAUCCUUACUCUUCAACAUGCUCCUAGCCAUCUCCAUUACAGUUCGGUUCUUCCGCUCAGCAAUCCCAUUUUGCUCCGGAGUAUAAGGUGCAGUUAAUUCCCUGUGAAUGCCAUUUUCUUCACAAAACACCUUAAAUUCUUGGGACAAGAAUUCACCUCCUCUGUCGGUACGAAGAACCCUAACUUUGUUACCGACUUGGUUUUCCACCAGCGCCUUGAAUUUUUUGAAGCUUGCAAAAGUUUCUGAUUUGAGUUUCAAAAAAUAUACCCAACUCAUCCGACUGUAAUCAUCAGUUAAUAACAGAAAAUAUCGAGAACCAGCAAGUGAUUCUGUGUUCAUAGGACCACAUAAAUCUGCGUGAACAAUUUCAAGACAACUAGUAGCUCUGAAAGAUCUUCCAACAGGAAAAGAUUUUCUAUGUUGCUUGCCAUAUAUACAACCUUCACAUACAUUUUCAACAGGUCCUAUAUUUGGCAAACCAUGAACCAUCUUAUUUUGACUAAGCAAUCUCAAUCCACUCAUAUUCAAGUGUCCAUAACGCAAAUGCCACAACUUAGACUCUUCAAGAUUUUUCUCACUAACAACAAGGGCUUGUUCGACUUUUGAAACUUCAAGUGGAAACAUUUUAUUCUCUGUCAUACGAAUACUUGCUAAGAUUUGACCUGAAUUUUUAUUCUUAAUAACACAUGAGCUAUCAUCAAACAAGACAGAGAAUCCACUAUUCAACAAUUGCCCAACACUUAGCAAGUUAUGUGCCAAACUAGGAGCAAAUAAAACAUUUUGAAUAAGUUUCACUUUACCUUGACUAGUUUGGACAGCAACAAUACCUUCACCUUCGACUUGAAUUUCCUUAUUAUCUCCAAGCCAAAUUCGCCUCUUUUUGGUCUCAUCUAACUCUUUAAACCCUUUUCUGUCACCAGUCAUGUGAUGGGAGCAGCCACUAUCAACAAACCAAACAUCAGUCUUAUGAUCUAUGGUGGUAGAGCGAGCCAUGAAAAGCAUGCUUUCUUCUUCCUCUUCCUCAACAUAACCAGCUUGAUCAUUUUUGUACCAGCAGUUAGCUUCUAUAUGGCCAAACCUGUGACAAUUGUAACAUUGCACUCCAUUUCUACGGCUAUUUGUCCACUUGGAUUGGCUUCUACCUCUACCACGCCCUCUGCCUCUAAAAGAUCCUCUGCCACGUCCUUGUACUCCUUGUUCUAGUGACUUCUCAUUCUGAAUUUGAGGCUGUUCCUUCACUUGAAAAGCUUGUUCUUCAGUCCUCUCUGUUGACUUAUUGAUCCGUGAUUCAUGAGAUUGCAAAGAACCCAUUAAUUGAUCAAAUGAAAACACAGAUAAGUCUUUUGAUUCCUCUAUGGCUGCAACCACAUGAUCAAAUUUCGAAGGUAAACUUCUUAAAACUUUUGAAACUACAAUUUCAUCGCCUACCUCUUCACCAUAUGAUUUCAUUUGACUUACAAUUCCGCUAACUCUUGAUAAAAAAUCUUGCACAGAUUCACUGUUUUUCAUGAACAAUGUUUCAAAAUCACGACGAAGAGAUUGUAGUUUCACAGUGAUUACCUUUGAGGAACCUUGAAACUCGGUUUUCAAAGUCAGCCAAGCAUCUCUUGAGGUAGCAGCUGCUGCAAUUCUUGAGAAAAUUGUCUCAUGAACGGCUUGCUGAAUAAAGAACAAAGCUUUGGCGUCCAACUUUCUGAUUUCUUUUAAUCUCCUUUCUUCCUCUGCAUCCGGCUCUUGUACAUCAACGAACCCAUCUUCGACUAUGUCCCACAAUUCUUGAGACCUCAACAAAGUCUUCAUCUUGAUACUCCAAAACUCAUACUUUUCACCAUUGAAGACGGGUAUGAGCGGCUGUGAAGAAGAGGACAUACCAUUUGCUGCCAUAACUCCUUUUCUNNNNNNNNNNNNNNNNNNNNNNNNNNNNNNNNNNNNNNNNNNNNNNNNNNNNNNNNNNNNNNNNNNNNNNNNNNNNNNNNNNNNNNNNNNNNNNNNNNNNNNNNNNNNNNNNNNNNNNNNNNNNNNNNNNNNNNNNNNNNNNNNNNNNNAUUUAUUAACUGGAAAUCUCUGCCUUUUAUAGGCUUACAAACUCUAAAAGAUCCAAGACUCUACUUGACUAAAAACUAGGAACCAUAUCAGAAAAAAUAGCAACUGAAUCCGAAAAUAUAGCAACCUAACAAAGACUCUUUCAACUCUAGUGAAAGACUUAUUCAACUAACAGUAAAACGUAUCCUAUGCAGUAACUUAACAAAACAGGCUUUGAAUCAAUUCUCAACAAA
rnacentral:lncRNA from 1 species